CAGCCGCCGCGGGAAUACGGAGGGUGCAAGCGUUAAUCGGAAUUACUGGGCGUAAAGCGUGCGUAGGCGGUUUGUUAAGUCUGCUGUGAAAUCCCCGGGCUCAACCUGGGAAUGGCAGUGGAUACUGGCAAGCUAGAGUGUGUCAGAGGAUGGUGGAAUUCCCGGUGUAGCGGUGAAAUGCGUAGAGAUCGGGAGGAACAUCAGUGGCGAAGGCGGCCAUCUGGGACAACACUGACGCUGAGGCACGAAAGCGUGGGGAGCAAACAGGAUUAGAUACCCGAGUAGUCCCUGUCUCUUAUAC
rnacentral:rRNA from 1 species